rnacentral:rRNA from 1 species
GACGAACGCUGGCGGCGUGCUUAACACAUGCAAGUCGAACGGUGAAGCAGAGCUUGCUCUGUGGAUCAGUGGCGAACGGGUGAGUAACACGUGAGUAACCUGCCCUUGACUCUGGGAUAAGCGUUGGAAACGACGUCUAAUACCGGAUACGAGCUGAGACCGCAUGGUCAUCAGUUGGAAAGAUUUUUUGGUCAAGGAUGGACUCGCGGCCUAUCAGCUUGUUGGUGAGGUAAUGGCUCACCAAGGCGACGACGGGUAGCCGGCCUGAGAGGGUGACCGGCAACACUGGGACUGAGACACGGCCCAGACUCCUACGGGAGGCAGCAGUGGGGAAUAUUGCACAAUGGGCGCAAGCCUGAUGCAGCAACGCCGCGUGAGGGAUGACGGCCUUCGGGUUGUAAACCUCUUUUAGUAGGGAAGAAGCGAAAGUGACGGUACCUGCAGAAAAAGCACCGGCUAACUACGUG